CCUAGAGAAGCUUUGGAACGAAAGAAGCACGUGUCUGAAGACCACACACCCGCAGGACACCCCUAGGGAUACAGAAGAUGUUUAGACCUGGGGGACAUUGAACUCAGCAUGGGGGUCCUGGAUUCAUAGUCGUUGAGGGGAGAACCCAGGACUCCUACCUUACCCUUGGAAUCAGGACACAUACGGAUUCACGCGGGGAGCGAAAGGAGCAGAGCAUGGAGCACAUUGUUCCCUUCCCUGACUGCAGUCUGCAAGCACAGAGACUGCUGAUUCCCGCGUUUUUUCUCACAGUUCACCAGAAUAUCCUAAACCCAAGAGCUGUGCUGGUUUGAUGUGAAGAUCAGUGCUAUAAUAAAUGUAUGAUUGCAUCCAUCGUCUGGAGCGGGGAGGAAAUCAAAAUUGCAGUUUAUGUCUAUUUGCCAGUCAAACCCCAGAUAUGCUCUGGUCGCAAACUCCCUCUGUUCUGUAUCCUUACUUAAAAACUCUGGGUAAACACUGAGAUGUUUUAUGAAGAAUUGGGCAAAGCUUUGAACUCUUCUCUGUACUUACUAUUGAUAUCCAGAUUACUACAAGAUGGUCAGAAUAUUCUGCUCUUUGAAGAACAAAAUAUCUAAAAAUACCUCGUAGCCACUCAGUAACUAUUGCCUCAAUAUCCAUCUCUACAUUCCUAGUCCAAGGACUCUGAUUAGCUCUGGAAGGGAAAGAAAUGGUCAUCUUAAGUUAAGGCUCUCAGAGAUUUUCCUGGACACUUAAUAGCCACAUGGCAAAUUUCUAACCCCAUAAAUCAAAGCUCCAAUAAGUGUAGCCCUCUGUACUUGGGUGAGGGUGCAAAUGGCAUAUGUUUCUGAUUCUGUAAGACAUUUCAGCUUACUAGACUAGAAGAGUUUCAAUUCAAGCAUGGCCACUCACUAGUUAGUGACCCUUGGGAGCUUUAAGUAGAUCGCUGUAGAAGAUUCAGAUACUUUGUUUCCUUCUUUGCGCAAUAGGUUGAAUAAUACUGUGCACAUCACAGAGAAAUUGUAAGUGUUGAACAAAGUGGUAAGCAGAACACUUAGAAUGGUGCCUGUUUCAAUGUAAGUCCUCCAAUAAAUGGUAAUUGGCAUUAAUGUUUAUUACUGCUGAAAAUUACCCUCAUCUCAGGUAAAAUAGGUAGUUAUUGAUAAUACUGAAUUAAUAUUGAACAGUUUUCACUAUUUCUUAAAAAUCUUGCCAUAUUUUUUCUAUCAGAAUGAAAAUGAUGGGGCUGGGGCUUUAGCUCA